CAAUAGCGUAUAUUAAAGUUGUUGCAGUUAAAAAGCUCGUAGUUGGAUUUCGGGGCAGCCUGGCUGGUCCGCCGCAAGGCGAGUACUGGUCAGCCGCCCUUCCUCUCGAAAGCCCCGACUGCUCUUUAUUGCAGUGGUCGGGUAGUUCGGGACGUUUACUUUGAAAAAAUUAGAGUGUUCAAGGCAGGCCUACGCCUGAAUACAUUAGCAUGGAAUAAUGGAAGAGGACCUCGGUCCUAUUUUGUUGGUUUCCAGGACCGAAGUAAUGAUUAAGAGGGACAGUUGGGGGCAUUCGUAUUUAAUUGUCAGAGGUGAAAUUCUCGGAUUUAUGAAAGACGAACAACUGCAAAAGCAUUUGCCAAGGAUGUUUUCAUUAA
rnacentral:rRNA from 1 species